rnacentral:rRNA from 1 species
AGAGUUUGAUCCUGGCUCAAAUUGAACGCUGGCGGCAGGCCUAACACAUGCAAGUCUAACGGUAGCACAGAGAGCUUGCUCUCGGGUGACGAGUGGCGGACGGGUGAGUAAUGUCUGGGAAACUGCCUGAUGGAGGGGGAUAACUACUGGAAACGGUAGCUAUUACCGCAUAACGUCGCAAGACCAAAGAGGGGGACCUUCAGGCCUCUUGCCAUCGGAUGUGCCCAGAUGGGAUUAGCUAGUAGGUGGGGUAAUGGCUCACCUAGGCGACGAUCCCUAGCUGGUCUGAGAGGAUGACCAGCCACACUGGAACUGAGACACGGUCCAGACUCCUACGGGAGGCAGCAGUGGGGAAUAUUGCACAAUGGGCGCAAGCCUGAUGCAGGCAUGCCGCGUGUAUGAAGAAGGCCUUCGGGUUGUAAAGUACUUUCAGCGAGGAGGAAGGCAUUGUGGUUAAUAACCGCAGUGAUUGACGUUACUCGCAGAAGAAGCACCGGCUAACUCCGUGCCAGCAGCCGCGGUAAUACGGAGGGUGCAAGCGUUAAUCGGAAUUACUGGGCGUAAAGCGCACGCAGGCGGUCUGUUAAGUCAGAUGUGAAAUCCCCGGGCUCAACCUGGGAACUGCAUUUGAGACUGGCAGGCUCGAGUCUUGUAGAGGGGGGUUGAAUUCCAGGUGUAGCGGUGGAAUGCGUAGAGAUCUGGAGGAAUACCGGUGGCGAAGGCGGCCCCCUGGACAAAGACUGACGCUCAGGUGCGAAAGCGUGGGGAGCAAACAAGAUUAGAUACCCUGGUAGUCCACGCCGUAAACGAUGUCGACUUGGAGGUUGUGCCCUUGAGGCGUGGCUUCCGGAGCUAACGCGUCAAGUCGACCGCCUGGGGAGUACGGCCGCAAGGUUAAAACUCAAAUGAAUUGACGGGGGGCCGCACAAGCGGUGGAGCAUGUGGUUUAA